GGACAAGGGGGACGGGCUUGACUCUGUUGAAAUGGAGUGUUCAGCUUGGUUUUGAGUGCGGUGGUCGUGCGGCGGUCGUGCGGCAGUCGUACGGCGGCGUUCGAUAGUCCAUGAGGUAGUCGUCGGCGUGGCGAUUUCACACAGCGAUUAUGAAGCCAAUAAGGUAAUGUUGUCAAGGCUUUUAAUUGAUAUUCAAAAUGCCGUUCGUCCCCCACGGUAUAGGGCGGAAACAAAUUACCACAAGUAUAAGGUGUUGGCCAUCACGGCAAUGGCCUUUUCAUUUGCGACUGCUCUCAUCGUUCUCGCCCUCGCCCUAUUCUAUUGUUGGUGUAGGCGGAGGCAGCGUAGUGGAGUUCCAUUGGCGGCACCAUUGGUGGCGGCGGCGGCACCACCAGCGGUAGUGACUGGGGCGCCACAUGGGGCACGUGCUGGUUGAUGAGGUGGUGAGGCACGCCCCAGUUGCAGUACUUCAAUUCUUAGAAGUAUCUUUCACUUUUUUUUUUUUUUUUUUAUUGUGCAUUAGCACAAAUGUGUGUCGGAUUUAUGUCUGUUUGGUGUGGGAUUGAUGACUGUUCAAUAUGGGAUUUAUCUAUAUUACUUGUGUGCUUUGCCUAUUCA